rnacentral:lncRNA from 1 species
UGAAGAGUCUUUUUCAAAUAGUGCGUUUCCUUGGCAUACGUAAGUGUUAUUUGGGUUAGAAGAAAGUUUGAUUUAUGGAAAUUCUCCUUAUGCCACAGAAAUACAGAAUGGAGGGAUAUUGAUUCUGCCGGCCCGGCAUGCAAAUGACCAUUUCUAGCAAUCCUUCGGCAUGCACGUUUCUCGACUGCACAGAAGGAUGGUGUCCAAAAAAUAGGUAGGAUUCAGUGUGCAUGCCAGUUGUUCAUACUGCCAGAAAUCCAAGCCAUCUGGAUGUCCUCCUAAUACACUCUCACCUUCGCUCAGAGUAAAUCUCCAUCAUCAUGCAUAAGUGUUAUAACAUAAUCUCUGUGUUCCAGUCUCGGCUGGUCACUGACUGUCUUGGGAAGGUUACCGUAAAUCUCCUGAGUCAGUUUCCCCUCCUGGAAAGAGAGAAUAAUUAUUAAAAUGAGGAUAAAGAUGUUUAGACUGGGGACCAAAAGGGGGAACCCUUAGCAGAAAAUCUGGCCGAUGGCAAACUCUUAAUAAAGAUUAGUAAUAUGUAAAUGAAAACUUCUAGACCAGCAGUAGAGAGCUUACCUGUAUUUUGUUUUAUUCCUUUUCCUUUUUUUUUUUUCCCCUAGAGAAAAAUGACAGGGACUCACUUUCCAAGAAAUUACACUAUGUUCAGUGACUUCCCAUCAAGAGUAAGCAAUGUUCCGUAUCCUGCCAUUGAAUGAAGAGGCUGAGAUUCGGAUUUUGCAGAGGAACAUCUGAGGUGCCAUUUCUGGAUGAGCGAGGAGUUAAGCACCAUCUUGGGACCCGGAUAGCCUCACCAGCCAGUUGUUCUGGGACACUUCUCCGUGGGACCGUCUCUCCGGGAUGGGAUGACCGUCGGCAACCCGGUGCGGCCCUGUGCCUGCCAUGGGCAGCAGGGAUGGCUCAGGAGUUCCAGCCCUGCGAGGACUGGAGGCCCCGCCGAGGCUCCUACCCUGCCUGAGGAAAAGGUAAGGCUCCAGUGUCCCCAGGGGUAUCCUGCUUUCAGCCAGCGGAUGGUGCAAGCAUUCUCCUGGUGGUGUCUGACACGCCUGCUUUCCUCUGAGGACGUGGAGAGUGCAGAGCAGACAGGAGAGACAGAUAGGGGGGGCGAGGGGCCUUUCGUGAAUAAAGGCAGCUUCAGUUAGUAAGAGACAUAACUGACAAGCUGCAAAAGCAGCACCUACUCAUUAGUCAUUGACUAAAACAUAAAUAAUAAAUACCAGAGCCUCCCCA